rnacentral:rRNA from 1 species
GACGAACCGUGCGAACGUUAUUCGGAAUCACUGGGCUUAAAGCGCGUGUAGGCGGGAGCGUACGUCCGACGCUGAAAUCCCCCGGCUCAACCGGGGAACUGGCGGGGAUACGGCGUUCCUGGUGGGGCGUAGGGGGACCUGGAACUUCCGGUGGAGCGGUGAAAUGCGUUGAGAUCGGAAGGAACGCCCGUGGCGAAAGCGAGGUCCUGGACGCCUACUGACGCUGAGACGCGAAAGCCAGGGGAGCGAACGGG